AUUGAACGCUGGCGGCAGGCCUAACACAUGCAAGUCGAGCGGAUCGGCGGUCGGGUGAGUAUUGCCUAGGACUCUGCCUGGUAGUGGGGGAUAACGUCCGGAAAUGGGCGCUAAUACCGCUUCCUAUCAGAUUAGCCUAGGGCGGAUUAGCUAGUUGGUGGGGUAAAGGCCAACCAAGGCGACGACCCGUAACUGGUCUGAGAGGAUGAUCAGUCACACUGGAACUGAGACACGGUCCAGACUCCUACGGGAGGCAGCAGUGGGGAAUAUUGGACAAUGGGCGAAAGCCUGAUCCAGCCAUGCCGCGUGUGUGAAGAAGGUCUUCGGAUUGUAAAGCACUUUAAGUUGGGAGGCGUUACCAGCAGAAUAGGCACCGGCUAACUUCGUGCCAGCAGCCGCGGUAAUUC
rnacentral:rRNA from 1 species